rnacentral:lncRNA from 1 species
GUAUUAGCUCUAAGUUCUUUUUGUCCGUUUUUAUGAUCCCCGACUUUGCGUAUUAGCUCUAAGUUCUUUCGGUCCGUUUUUAUGAUCCCCGACUUUGCGUAUUAGCUCUAAGUUCUUUCGGUUUGUUUUUAUGAUCCCUGACUUUGCAUAUUAGCUCUAAGUUCUUUCGGACUGUUUCUAUGAUCCCCGACUUUGCGUAUUAGCUCUAAGUUCUUUCGGUCUGUUUUUAUGAUUCCCGACUUUGCGUAUUAGGUCUAAGUUCUUUCGGUCCGUUUUUAUGAUCCUUAACUUUGCUUAUUAGCUCUAAGUUUUUUUGGUCCGUUUUUAUGAUCCCCAAAUUUGCGUAUUAGCUCUAAGUUCUUUCGGUCCGUUUUUAUGAUCCCCGACUUUGCGUAUUAGCUUUAAGUUCUUUCGGUCCAUUUUUAUGAUCCCCGACUUUGCGAAUUAGCUCUAAGUUCUUUCGGUCCGUUUUUAUGAUCCCCGAAUUUGCGUAUUAGCUCUAAGUUCUUUCGGUCCGUUUUUAUGAUCCCCGACUUUGCGUAUUAGCUCUAAGUUCUAUUGGUCCUUUUUAUGAUCCCCGACUUUACGUAUUAGCUCUAAGUUCUUUCGGUCCGUUUUUAUGAUCCCCGACUUUGCGUAACUCUACGUUCUUUCGGUCCAUUUUUAUGAUCCCCGACUUUGCGUAUUAGCUCUAAGUUCUUUCGGUUAUUUUUAUAAUCUCUAAAUUUUCUAAUUAGCUUUAAGUUUUUUUGGUCCGUUUUUAUGAUCCCCGACUUUGCGUAUUAUCUCUAAGUUCUUUCGGUCCGUUUUUAUGAUCUCCGACUUUGCGUAUUAGCUCUAAGUUCUAUUGGUCCUUUGUAUGAUACCCGACUUUACGUAUUUGCUCUAAGUUCUUUCGGUCCAUUUUUAUGAUCCCCGACUUUGCGUAUUAGCUCUAAGUUCUUUCGGUCCGUUUUUAUGAUCCCCGACUUUACGUAUUAGCUCUAAGUUCUAUUGGUCCUUUGUAUGAUCCCCGAUUUUUCGUAUUAGCUCUAAGUUCUUUCUGUCGUUUUUAUGAUCCCUGACUUUGCGUAUGAGCUCUAAGUUCUUUCGGUUCGUUUUUAUGAUCCCCUACUUUGCGUAUUAGCUUUAAGUUCUUUCGGUCGUUUUUAUGAUCCCUGACUUUGCGUAUUAGCUCUAAGUUCUUUCGGUCCGUUUUUAUGAUCCCCGACUUUACGUAUUAGCUCUAAGUUCUUUCGGUCCAUUUUUAUGAUCCCCGACUUUGCGUAUUAGCUCUAAGUUCUUUUGGUCCAUUUUUAUGAUCUCUGACUUUGCGUUUUAGCUCUAAGUUCUUUCGGUCCGUUUUUAUGAUCCCCGACUUUGCGUAUUAGCUCUAUGUUCUUUUGGUCCGUUUUUAUGAUCCCCGACUUUGCGUAUUAGUUCUAAGUUCUUUUGGUCCAUUUUUAUGAUCCCCAACUGACCGUAUUAGCUCUAAGUUCUUUUGGUCCGUUUUUAUGAUCCCCGACUUUGCG